rnacentral:rRNA from 1 species
CUUGCCCUCCCUCUAGCCCAACCACCCCCAUUAAAAACAUAUUUUUUUCCUCAAACCAAAACAUUCUACUCGUCCCAGUAUAGGCGAUAGAAAAGACUCCUGGCGCAAUAGAGACCAACCGUACCGUAAGGGAAAGAUGAAAUAGUAGUGAAAACCGCAAGCAAUAAGCAGUAAAGACUAACCCUUGUACCUCUUGCAUCAUGAUUUAGCAAGGACAACCAAGCAAAGAGAACUAAAGUUUGUCCUCCCGAAACCCAAGCGAGCUACUUGCGAGCAGCUAUAAUUGAGCGAACCCGUCUCUGUCGCAAAAGAGUGGGAUGACUUGCCAGUAGAGGUGAAAAGCCAAUCGAGCUGGGUGAUAGCUGGUUACCUGCCAAACGAAUUUAAGUUCUUCCUUAAUCCAUUCCAAAAGGACAUCCACUUAAACCUCAAAUGUAUUAGGGUUAAGAGUAACUCGACGGGGGUACAGCCCCCUCGAAAAAGAAUACAACCUCUCCCAGCGGAUAAUACCACCCUCCCCCUCCCCGUGGGCCCUCAAGCAGCCAUCAACAAAAGAGUGCGUCAAAGCUCCCCCACUAAAAAUUUAUAAACCCAUCUGACUCCCUCACCCAAAGCAGGUCAACCUAUGACAAUAGAAGAAUUAAUGCUAGAAUGAGUAACUUGGAAGCCUCCUCCACACAGCGCAAACUUACAUCAACAUAUUAUUAACAGAACUGAACUUAUACACCUAUUGUAACGAGAACACGUAUUUAAUUAACCUGUUAAGCCAACCCAGGAGCGCCCACAAGAAGAUUAAAACCUGCAGAAGGAACUCGGCAAACCAAAGACCCGACUGUUUCCCAAAAACAUAGCCUUCAGCAAACAACAAGUAUUGAAGGUGAUGCCUGCCCAGUGACCCCUGACGUUCAACGGCCGCGGUAUCCUAACCGUGCGAAGGUAGCGCAAUCAAUUGUCCCAUAAAUCGAGACUUGUAUGAACGGCCAAACGAGGUCUUAACUGUCUCCUGCAAGUAAUCAGUGAAAUUAGUACCCUCGUGCAAAAACGAGAAUGUGAUCAUAAGACGAGAAGACCCUGUGGAACUUUAAAAUCACGACCACCCUUCAACUAACACAAACCCAUCGGACUUACCUAUAUAAAGUACCUGGUCGAUAUUUUUCGGUUGGGGCGACCUUGGAGAAAAAUAAACCCUCCAAACCUCAGACCACAACUCUUCACUAAGACCAACCCAUCAAAGUACUAACAGUAAUCAGACCCAAUAUAAUUGAUCAAUGGACCAAGCUACCCCAGGGAUAACAGCGCAAUCUCCUCCAAGAGCCCAUAUCGACAAGGAGGUUUACGACCUCGAUGUUGGAUCAGGACAACCUAAUGGUGCAGCCGCUAUUAAGGGUUCGUUUGUUCAACGAUUAACAGUCCUACGUGAUCUGAGUUCAGACCGGAGCAAUCCAGGUCGGUUUCUAUCUAUGAACAUACUCCUCCCMGUACAAGGACCGGAGAAGUGGGGUCAAUACCAUAGGCACACCCCAACCUUCUAAGCAAUGAAUCAAACUCAAUUGCCAAGAACCUCCCCCAUUCACUCCCUCCUCCUAAAAAAGGAGCAG